GGAUGACACUUUUCGGAGCGUAAACUCCUUUUGUUAGGGAAGAACAAUGACGGUACCUAACGAAUAAGCACCGGCUAACUCCGUGCCAGCAGCCGCGGUAAUACGGAGGGUGCAAGCGUUACUCGGAAUCACUGGGCGUAAAGGGCGCGUAGGCGGAUAAUCAAGUCUCUUGUGAAAUCCAAUGGCUUAACCAUUGAACUGCUUGGGAAACUGAUUAUCUAGAGUAAGGGAGAGGUAGAUGGAAUUCUUGGUGUAGGGGUAAAAUCCGUAGAGAUCAAGAAGAAUACCCAUUGCGAAGGCGAUCUGCUAGAACUUAACUGACGCUAAUGCGCGAAAGCGUGGGGAGCAAACAGGAUUAGAUACCCUGGUAGUCCACGCCCUAAACGAUGUAUACUGGUUGUUGCUUUGCUAGUCAAGGCAGUAAUGCACCUAACGGAUUAAGUAUACCGCCUGGGGAGUACGGUCGCAAGAUUAAAACUCAAAGGAAUAGACGGGGACCCGCACAAGCGGUGGAGCAUGUGGUUUAAUUCGAAGAUACGCGAAGAACCUUACCUGGGCUUGACAUCUAUGGAAUCUCUUAGAGAUAAGAGAGUGCUAGCUUGCUAGAACCAUAAGACAGGUGCUGCACGGCUGUCGUCAGCUCGUGUCGUGAGAUGUUGGGUUAAGUCCCGCAACGAGCGCAACCCACGUAUUUAGUUGCUAACGGUUAGGCCGAGCACUCUAAAUAGACUGCCUUCGUAAGGAGGAGGAAGGUGUGGACGACGUCAAGUCAUCAUGGCCCUUAUGCCCAGGGCGACACACGUGCUACAAUG
rnacentral:rRNA from 1 species